GACGAACGCUGGCGGCGUGCUUAACACAUGCAAGUCGAACGGAAAGGCCCUGCUUUUGUGGGGUGCUCGAGUGGCGAACGGGUGAGUAACACGUGAGUAACCUGCCCGUGACUUUGGGAUAACUUCAGGAAACUGGGGCUAAUACCGGAUAGGAGCUCCUGCUGCAUGGUGGGGGUUGGAAAGUUUCGGCGGUUGGGGAUGGACUCGCGGCUUAUCAGCUUGUUGGUGGGGUAGUGGCUUACCAAGGCUUUGACGGGUAGCCGGCCUGAGAGGGUGACCGGCCACAUUGGGACUGAGAUACGGCCCAGACGCCUACGGGAGGCAGCGGUGGAGAAUAUUGCACAAUGGGCGGAAGCCUGAUGCAGCAACGCCGCGUGCGGGAUGACGGCCUUCGGGUUGUAAACCGCUUUCGCCUGUGACGAAGCGUGAGUGACGGUAAUGGGUAAAGAAGCACCGGCUAACUACGUG
rnacentral:rRNA from 1 species